rnacentral:rRNA from 1 species
UACGUAGGGGGCGAGCGUUGUCCGGAUUCAUUGGGCGUAAAGAGCUCGUAGGCGGCUUGGUAAGUCGGGUGUGAAACCUCCAGGCUCAACCUGGAGACGCCACUCGAUACUGCCAUGGCUAGAGUCCGGUAGGGGCCCACGGAAUUCCUGGUGUAGCGGUGAAAUGCGCAGAUAUCAGGAGGAACACCUGUGGCGAAAGCGGCUCACUGGACCAUAACUGACGCUGAUGCACGAAAGCUAGGGGAGCAAACAGG